CGCGGCCUAUCAGCUUGUUGGUGAGGUAACGGCUCACCAAGGCGACGACGGGUAACCGGCCUGAGAGGGUGACCGGUCACACUGGGACUGAGACACGGCCCAGACUCCUACGGGAGGCAGCAGUGGGGAAUAUUGCACAAUGGGCGCAAGCCUGAUGCAGCAACGCCGCGUGAGGGAUGACGGCCUUCGGGUUGUAAACCUCUUUUAGCAGGGAAGAAGCGAAAGUGACGGUACCUGCAGAAAAAGCACCGGCUGACUACGUGCCAGCAGCCGCGGUAAUACGUAGGGUGCAAGCGUUGUCCGGAAUUAUUGGCCGUAAAGAGCUCGUAGGCGGUUUGUCACGUCUGCUGUGAAAAUCCAAGGCUCAACCUUGGACUUGCAGUGGGUACGGGCAGGCUAGAGUGCGGUAGGGGAGAUGGAAAUUCCUGGUGUAGCGGUGGAAUGCGCAGAUAUCAGGAGGAACACCAAUGGCGAAGGCACAUCUCUGGGCCGUAACUGACGCUGAGGAGCGAAAGCGUGGGGAGCGAACAGGAUUAGAUACCCUGGUAGUCCACGCCGUAAACGGUGGGUGCUAGCUGUGGGCCACAUUCCACGUGGUCCGUGACGAAGUUAACACAUUAAGCACCCCGCCUGGGGAGUACGG
rnacentral:rRNA from 1 species